rnacentral:rRNA from 1 species
UACGUAGGGAGCAAGCGUUGUUCGGAUUUACUGGGCGUAAAGGGCGCGUAGGCGGCCACCGCAAGUCAGUUGUGAAAUCUCUGGGCUUAACCCAGAACGGUCAGCUGAUACUGCGGGGCUAGAGUGCAGAAGGGGCAACUGGAAUUCUCGGUGUAGCGGUGAAAUGCGUAGAUAUCGAGAGGAACACCUGCGGCGAAGGCGGGUUGCUGGGCUGACACUGACACUGACAGCGCGAAAGCUAGGGGAGCGAACGGG